UCUCCUCACACCAGCGAUUCUACCGUCUCCAAAUCAAACCAUAAUGGAGAAUCAGAGUCAGCUCCCAGCCGCCGCCGCCGUUCCCCAACCCCCAGCCGCCGCCGUCCCUCCCCAGCCCCCUCUCGCCGCCUUCAACCCGACUCUUCACCCUGUCACCUGUGGAUGCGGCAGUAAGAUUCAAAUCAGGUUCCCGUACGGUGCUCAUCAUAGGGUCACAUGCCGGAGGUGCGGUGACUAUUUUCACUUCGACAUCCCAGCAAAUGAUUGAGCUGUUUAAGCUGGACGCUGAGAUAGUAUGGAUUUUGAAUCUUCGUGAUGGAGCUUCUUAACUUGGCUGCUGACAAAUACAAAUAGGAUUUCUGGAAGUACAUACAUACUCUUGUUUCCCCUCUAUCCAAGUACUUUUCCCUAAAUCAAGAUUUGGUUGCAUGUAAGGGUGCCAAAUACCACUUUAUUCCAUAUCUACUCCAAGUUUAGAAGAUUUAGAUGUGUUUUUUUUUAGUAAUAGUUGGAAUUAGGGUAAACGGGCAUUCAUGUCCAUGAAGAAAUAUAAACAGUGAAACUUGGAAUUAGUUUGAUAAUGAGUUGGCAACAUUUGUGAUUCAUUUCCUUCAACUGGUUUGAAGGUAUUGGAAGUCCCAUUAGGUGUGGUAUUUGGAUGAUAAAAUUAA